CGUUAUUCAAGAUAUAUGUAAACAACAUUCUAAAGAUUGAUUCAGUACAUCGUUUGACAUGUUUCUACUGACUGUUACGGAACAUUUGGACAUUUCGUCACAUUAUAGUGGACGCGCUUUGUGACUUUGGAAUUGUUUACCAAACACACUAACCAAAGUAACUAAUUGGACAUAAAUAACGGACAUUUUCGAACAAAUCAAGCAUUUAUUGUGGACCUGGGAUUCCUAGGACUGCAUUCUGAUGAAGUUCAUCAAAGAGACUCCCUCUGUCCAGCGCUUCCAGAGUCUCCCUCCUGUCCAGCGCUGCCAGAGUCUCCCUCCUGUCCAGCCCUGCCAGAGGCUCCCUCCUGUCCAGCCCUGCCAGAGUCUCCCUCCUGUCCAGCCCUGCCAGAGUCUCCCUCCUGUCCAGCCCUGCCAGAGGCUCCCUCCUGUCCAGCCCUGCCAGAGGCUCCCUCCUGUCCAGCCCUGCCAGAGGCUCC
ensembl:lncRNA